GAUGAACGCUGGCGGCGUGCUUAACACAUGCAAGUCGAACGGGAUCCAUCAGGCUUUGCUUGGUGGUGAGAGUGGCGAACGGGUGAGUAAUGCGUGACCGACCUGCCCCAUACACCGGAAUAGCUCCUGGAAACGGGUGGUAAUGCCGGAUGCUCCAGUUGAUCGCAUGGUCUUCUGGGAAAGCUUUCGCGGUAUGGGAUGGGGUCGCGUCGUAUCAGCUUGACGGCGGGGUAACGGCCCACCGUGGCUUCGACGGGUAGCCGGCCUGAGAGGGCGACCGGCCACAUUGGGACUGAGAUACGGCCCAGACUCCUACGGGAGGCAGCAGUGGGGAAUAUUGCACAAUGGGCGCAGGCCUGAUGCAGCGACGCCGCGUGAGGGAUGGAGGCCUUCGGGUUGUAAACCUCUUUUAUCGGGGAGCAAGCGAGAGUGAGUUUACCCGUUGAAUAAGCACCGGCUAACUACGUGCCAGCAGCCGCUGUAA
rnacentral:rRNA from 1 species